GGAAGUAAAAGUCUAACAAGGUUUCCGUAGGUGAACCUGCGGAAGGAUCAUUAUUGUAUAACCGAGGUGCGAGGGCUGUCGCUGACCCGAAAGGUCGUGCACGCCCGAGUGCCCUCACACACAUCCAUCUCACCCCUAUGUGCACCACCGCGUGGGUCCCCCUUUGGCUUGUUCGGAGGGGGGCUUACGUUUUCACACAAACUUUGUAUGCAGUGUAGAAUGUAUUUUUUGUUUUUGCGAUCACGCAAUCAAUACAACUUUCAACAACGGAUCUCUUGGCUCUC
rnacentral:misc_RNA from 1 species